UUGCCUACGGGGGGCAGCAGUGGGGAAUAUUGCACAAUGGGGGAAACCCUGAUGCAGCGACGCCGCGUGAGUGAGGAAGUAUUUCGGUAUGUAAAGCUCUAUCAGCAGGGAAGAAAAUGACGGUACCUGACUAAGAAGCCCCGGCUAACUACGUGCCAGCAGCCGCGGUAAUACGUAGGGGGCAAGCGUUAUCCGGAUUUACUGGGUGUAAAGGGAGCGUAGGUGGCAAGGCAAGUCAGAUGUGAAAACCCGGGGCCCAACCCCGGGAGUGCAUUUGAAACUGUCUGGCUAGAGUGCAGGAGGGG
rnacentral:rRNA from 1 species